rnacentral:rRNA from 1 species
AGUGAACGCUGGCGGUAGGCCUAACACAUGCGAGUCGAACGGCAGCACAGUAAGAGCUUGCUCUUACGGGUGGCGAGUGGCGGACGGGUGAGGAAUACAUCGGAAUCUACUUUUUCGUGGGGGAUAACGUAGGGAAACUUACGCUAAUACCGCAUACGACCUACGGGUGAAGGCAGGGGAUCUUCGGACCUUGCGCGAUUGAAUGAGCCGAUGUCGGAUUAGCUAGUUGGCGGGGUAAAGGCCCACCAAGGCGACGAUCCGUAGCUGGUCUGAGAGGAUGAUCAGCCACACUGGAACUGAGACACGGUCCAGACUCCUACGGGAGGCAGCAGUGGGGAAUAUUGGACAAUGGGCGCAAGCCUGAUCCAGCCAUACCGCGUGGGUGAAGAAGGCCUUCGGGUUGUAAAGCCCUUUUGUUGGGAAAGAAAAGCAGCAGGUUAAUACCCCGCUGUUCUGACGGUACCCAAAGAAUAAGCACCGGCUAACUUCGUG